rnacentral:lncRNA from 1 species
UGGAGGGUCAGCAGCGUGGAGUCCUGGCCUUUUGCGUCCACGGGUGGGAAAUUGGCCAUUGCCACGGCGGGAACUGGGACUCAGGCUGCCCCCCGGCCGUUUCUCAUCCGUCCACCGGACUCGUGGGCGCUCGCACUGGCGCUGAUGUAGUUUCCUGACCUCUGACCCGUAUUGUCUCCAGAUUAAAGGUACGACAUUUGGAGGCCCCAGCGAGAAACGUCACCGGGAGAAACGUCACCGGGCGAGAGCCGGGCCCGCUGUGUGCUCCCCCGGAAGGACAGCCAGCUUGUAGGGGGGAGUGCCACCUGAAAAAAAAAUUUCCAGGUCCCCAAAGGGUGACCGUCUUCCGGAGGACAGCGGAUCGACUACCAUGUGGGUGCCCACAAAAAUUCCACCUCUGAGUCCUCAACUGCUGACCCCGGGGUCAGUAGACACGGGGUUUCACCAUGUUGGCCAGGCCGGUCUUGAACUUGUGACGUCAGGUGAUGCACCCGCCUUGGCCUCCCAAAGUGCUGGGAUUACAGGUCCAGAUUUUGAACAAAUCUCGCUAGAGAUUGAACAGAGCUGCGCCUGGAUCCCGCCACAGUGAGGAGACCUGAAGACCAGAGAAAACACAGCAAACGGAGUCUUGCUCUGUUGUCCAGGCUGGAGUGUAGUGUGGCGAUCUCGGCUCCCUGCAAGAAUCUGCCUCCCAGAUUCACGCCAUUUUCCCACCUCAGCCCCUGGAGUAGCUGGAAGUACAGGCUCCCGCCACCACGCCUGGCUAAUUUUGUUUUUGUAUUUUUAGUAGAGACGGGGUUUCACUGUGUUAGGUAGGAUGGUCUCGAUCUCCUGACCUCAUGAUCCAUCCGCCUUGGCCUCUCAAAGUGCUGGGAUUACAGGCAUGAGCCACCGCACCUGGCUGUUUUUUCAUUUCUAUUAUGAUUUGUUCUGUGGAAUGUCAGUGACUUAGCGGUGUUUUUCACAUGUUUAUAAAGCUGAAUAGUUCUGUAUGUCAGCUCAGCACCCCUAGUGUCAGUCAUGCUACUCUCCUGCUGUGCAUAGAUGGGGGCCUGUCCACACCCAAAUCUCCUGGGUUCCCGCUGUCCGCACCUGAAGUCUUCCUAUGGCAACCAGUCUGGAGUGCAGUGGUGCAAUCUCAGCUCACUACAACCUCUGCCUUCCAGAUUCAAGUGAUUCUCCUGCCUCAGCCUCCCGAGUACCCGGGAUUACAGAUGUGCACCACCAUGCCUGGCUAAUUUUUGUCUUUUUAGUAGAGACAGUUUUUUGCCAUUUUGGCUAGGCUGGUCUUGAACUCCUGACCUCAAGUGAUCUGCCUGCCUCAGCUUCCCAAAGUGCUGGGAUUACAGGGGUGAGCCACUGUGCCCAACCUAGAAAGCUUAUUUUAUUUUAUUAUUAUAAUUAAUUUUAUUUUUUUGAGAUGGAGUCUCGCUCUGUUGCCCAGGCUGGAGUGCAGUGGCGCAAUCUCUGCUCACUGCAAGCUCCACCUCCCAGGUUCACGCCAUUCUCCUCCCUCAGCCUCCUGAGUAGCUGUGACUACAGGCGCCCGCCACCACACCUGGCUAAUUUUUUGUAUUUUUCAUGGAGACAGGGUUUCACCAUGUUAGCCAGGAUGGUCUCAAUUUCCUGACCUCGUGAUCCACCCGCCGUGGCCUCCCAAAGUGCUGGGAUUACAGGCGUGAGCCACCGCGCCUGGCCUAUAAUUAAUUUUUUUGAGAUGGAGUCUUACUCUGUCUCCCAGGCUGGAGUACAGUGGCACAUCUUGGACCCCUGCAACCUCUGCCUCCUGGGUUCAAGCAGUUCUCUCUACCUCAGCCUCUCCAGUAGCUGGGAUUACAGGUGCCCACCACCAUGCCCAGCUAAUUUUUGUAUUUUUAGUAGAGAUGGGGUUUCACCAUGUUGGCCAGGCUGGUCUCGAACCCCUGACCUCAGGUGAUACGCCCGCCUCGGCCUCCCAAAGUGUGAGAUUACAGGCAUCAGCCACUGCACCCGGCCAGAAAGCUUAUUUUAAAAGGCCCCUGGAUCCUCCUGGAAUCCCCGAUCCCUCUUGCUCCCUGGCAGAGUUUUCUAGUCCCUCUUACUUGAAGCAUGUCUUUCAGAGCCCGGCACCACCCAUCUUGAGUAUCUGCUACACCUCUAUGGUAUUUUUUUCACCUCAUAUCAUACCUUCCUCCCUCACUGGACUUCAGUGUGGGACCUGCAGGUCUCAGGCCUUCUGGGAAGUCCCAGCUUUUCUUGAAUGUUUUCUCUCUCUGGCCAGCUCAGGCUGGAGCAGUGGGUGUUGGUGCCAUCCUGUGGCUAUAGGUGAUAAGCCGGCUGUUCUUCACUGACCUGGUCUUACCUUGAACCCUGGAGUUCUCACAUGCAUGGAUUUAAAUGCUGUGUCUUUCUAAGGGCACAUUAUGGCCAUUUUCCUUAUCUCCCUCCCAAGGGGCUGUUUGCUGUGUUUAUUGACUCCCUGUUUAAAAAACAUAUAUAUAUAUAUAUAUAUAGACGAAUUAGGUUGUACCCCAUAAAUUGCAUGUUUGAAAAAUAUUUCAAAGAAUAGUUUAUUUUUUUUUGCUGAUUUUUAUGUAUCUUCUAAAUUGUAUAUAUUUAUGGGGUAUAAAAUGAUGUUGUGAU